UACGAAGGGUGCGAGCGUUAAUCGGAAUUACUGGGCGUAAAGCGUGCGCAGGCGGUUUUGUAAGACAGGCGUGAAAUCCCCGGGCUCAACCUGGGAAUUGCGCUUGUGACUGCAAAGCUGGAGUGCGGCAGAGGGGGAUGGAAUUCCGCGUGUAGCAGUGAAAUGCGUAGAUAUGCGGAGGAACACCGAUGGCGAAGGCAAUCCCCUGGGCCUGCACUGACGCUCAUGCACGAAAGCGUGGGGAGCAAACAGG
rnacentral:rRNA from 1 species